CAUCAUCAUUCUCAUCUUCAUCAUCAUCAUCAUUACUGCUACUGUCCUCAUCCAUCCAACAGUCUUCAUCUCCAUUUUCAUCUGACUCACAGCCCAGACUAUCAGAAUUUAUUCCACCGACUAUCCAGUCAUCAUUUUCUAUAUGAGUGUCGUCUCCCUCACUUACCACUACUUCUAGCAAAAGAGAAGUCACCAUAGCAGAAGACACAGGAGAAGUCACCACAGGACUUGGAAUAAUUGGACAACUA
rnacentral:lncRNA from 1 species